AUCCUGCAUCAUCAAACAAUUUGGCAUCAUCACAAAACAGAUCUAAACAAUGAACUCUGAAUUCAACACCUAAUAAAUCCCAUGCUUUUAUAUGUAUUUAGAGAAUGUUUGUUUCACUGUUUUCGUUUUCAUGCGUUUGGUUCAGGAGGGAAAAUGAGUGGAGUCAAUCUAAAAGAUUUUACCGGUCAACGUAAAAACCCAUGUUUUUUUUUUUCUUUAAAAUAUCUUUACCCUUUAAUUUUCCAUCCUUUCUUUCUCAUCAUCUAUCGAGAGAUCAUCUUGCCCUUUUUCUUAUUCUCUUCCCGGUGGCACCAUCCAACAUCUCCCACCGGCAACAUUACCGGUUUAUAGUUGUGAGGUUUUCUACUUCUGCAUAGUUGUCUUCUAUAAGUUGAAUUUGAGAUUAAACAACUCCAUAGAUGGAUGGUUAACAUGAACCUACAAGGAUUUCAGCUGAAAAAUGCAAGAGAGCCAUUAUAUGAAAUUUGAAUGUGGAAAAAGGACACAGAGAGCAAAGGAGAGCCCCAAGUGCUAGUUAAGGUGUCUAACUAGCUCAUAAAUGGAUGAGUUCGUUAUUGGAAACCAACGGUGGAAGAACUAGGCAUGCUUGAGAUCAAAGGCUUGGCAGAAUCCAAUCAGAACUUGAGAAAAAAGUGAUAAAAUCUACUAGUGAAUGAGGUACCAGUCGCCCAAAUGAAGACCAAUCUAUCAACACAGUGAUUAUGCUAGUAUUAUUGACAUAUGUUAUGGUUUGCUACGAAUGUUCUUGGAUACCUAAAUCUUAAAAUUAUGUAUACUAGUAUUGAUUAUGGGAGGUUGGCAUUAGCAAUUGUAGAUACGAUAAACUUGUAUUUAAUGUUGUCUAGCUUUAAUGUUUCAGCUGACAAUUGUAGAUUCUGUUCAUUUUAUCACAAGGUUUUGUUAGUAA